GAGGAAUCGAGGUGGUAAGCCUGGUCAGUGGCCUAGUUGGAGGGGAUGCACUGAUUCCACAUGUACCAGGAAGUGUACAAGUGAUAGUGUCUCCGCUAACAGGUGACCCCAUACCACAUCGACAAUUGAAGUUUCUAGAGGCAUUGUUAGGCUCGGUGCCUCUGGUUCACAUCGAAGACGUGUGCGAGGCCCAUGUCUUUUGCACAGACAUACCUUCCAUGUCUGGUAGGUUUCUGUGUGCAAGUGCCAACCCCAC
rnacentral:misc_RNA from 1 species